AGUGAACGCUGGCGGUAGGCCUAACACAUGCAAGUCGAACGGCAGCACAGUAAGAUCUUGCUCUUACGGGUGGCGAGUGGCGGACGGGUGAGGAAUAUAUCGGAACCUACUUUUUCGUGGGGGUUAAGGAAGGGAAAGUUACGCCAAUACCGCAUCCGCCCUACGGUUGAAAGCGGGGGAUAUUCGGACCUGGCGCGAUUGGACGAGCGGAUGUCGGAUUGGCUAGUUGGGGGGGUGAAGGCCAACCAAGUGGAGGAUCCGUAGCUGGUCUGGGAGGAUGGUCAGCCGCCCGGGAACUGGAACACGGACCAUGCGCCUAAGAGAGGCAGCAGUGGGGAAUAUUGGACAAUGGGCGCAAGUCUGAUCCAGCGAUAGCGAGUGGGUGAAGAAGGCCUUCGGGUUGUAAAGCCCUUUUGUUGGGAAAGAAAAGCAGCAGGUUAAUACCCCGCUGUUCUGACGGUACCCAAAGAAUAAGCACCGGCUAACUUCGUG
rnacentral:rRNA from 1 species